rnacentral:rRNA from 1 species
AUUGAACGCUGGCGGCAGGCCUAACACAUGCAAGUCGAGCGAGCGGCGGACGGGUGAGUAAUGUCUGGGAAACUGCCUGAUGGAGGGGGAUAACUACUGGAAACGGUAGCUAAUACCGCAUACCAUCAGAUGUGCCCAGAUGGGAUUAGCUAGUAGGUGGGGUAACGGCUCACCUAGGCGACGAUCCCUAGCUGGUCUGAGAGGAUGACCAGCAACACUGGAAAUGAGACAGGGCCCAGACGCCUCCGGGAGUCAGCAGGGGGGAAGAUUGAACAAUGGGCGCAAGCUGUAUGCAGCCAUGAGGGGUGGUGGAAGAAGGCCUUAGGGUGUUAAAGCACUGUCAGCGGGUAGGCGUUACCCGCAGAAGAAGCACCGGCUAACGCCGUGCCAGCAGACGCGGUAAUAC